rnacentral:rRNA from 1 species
CGGCAACAGCUCAAAUUUGAAAUCUGGCUCUCGGGCCCGAGUUGUAAUUUGUAGAGGAAGUUUUGGCGUUGGCAGCGGUCCAAGUUCCUUGGAACAGGUCGUCACAGAGGGUGAGAAUCCCGUACGUGGCCGCAGGUCUUCGCCGUGUAAAACUCCUUCGAC